rnacentral:rRNA from 1 species
GAGUUUGAUCCUGGCUCAGGACGAACGCUGGCGGCGUGCCUAAUACAUGCAAGUCGAACGAAACUUUCUUACACCGAAUGCUUGCAUUCACCGUAAGAAGUUGAGUGGCGGACGGGUGAGUAACACGUGGGUAACCUGCCUAAAAGAAGGGGAUAACACUUGGAAACAGGUGCUAAUACCGUAUAUCUCUAAGGAUCGCAUGAUCCUUAGAUGAAAGAUGGUUCUGCUAUCGCUUUUAGAUGGACCCGCGGCGUAUUACUAGUUGGUGGGGUAACGGCCUACCAAGGUGAUGAUACGUAGCCGAACUGAGAGGUUGAUCGGCCACAUUGGGACUGAGACACGGCCCAAACUCCUACGGGAGGCAGCAGUAGGGAAUCUUCCACAAUGGACGCAAGUCUGAUGGAGCAACGCCGCGUGAGUGAAGAAGGUCUUCGGAUCGUAAAACUCUGCUGUUAGAGAAGAACACGAGUGAGAGUAACUGUUCAUUCGAUGACGGUAUCUAACCAGCAAGUCACGGCUAACUACGUGCCAGCAGCCGCGGUAAUACGUAGGUGGCAAGCGUUGUCCGGAUUUAUUGGGCGUAAAGGGAACGCAGGCGGUCUUUUAAGUCUGAUGUGAAAGCCUUCGGCUUAACCGGAGUAGUGCAUUGGAAACUGGAAGACUUGAGUGCAGAAGAGGAGAGUGGAACUCCAUGUGUAGCGGUGAAAUGCGUAGA